GUCCACGCCGUAAACGAUGGGCACUAGGUCCUUGGGGAGGCGACCCUCUGAGGGCCGGGCGCUAACGCAUUAAGUGCCCCGCCCUGGGGAGGUACGGCCGCAAGGCUGAAACUCAAAGGAAAUUGACGGGGGCCCGGCACAAGCGGUGGAGCAUGUGGUUUAAUUCGACGCAACGCGAAGAACCUUACCUGGGCUUGACAUGCAGGGGAAAGGCUGGGGGAAACCGUCGGCCCUCCUUCGGGACUCCUGCACAGGUGCUGCAUGGCUGUCGU
rnacentral:rRNA from 1 species